CCUACGGGAGGCAGCAGUGGGGAAUAUUGCACAAUGGGGGAAACCCUGAUGAAGCGACGCCGCGUGAGUGAAGAAGUCCUUCGUUAUGUAAAGCUCUAUCAGCAGGGAAGAAAAUGACGGUACCUGAGUAAGAAGCCCCGGCUCACUAAGUGCCAGCAGCCGCGGUCAUACGUAGGGGGCAAGCGUUAUCCGGAUUUACUGGGUGUAAAGGGAGCGUAGACGGCAGUGCAAGUCUGGAGUGAAAGGCGGGGGCUCAACCCCCGGACUGCUCUGGAAACUGUAAGGCUGGAGUGCAGGAGAGGUAAGUGGAAUUCCUAGUGUAGCGGUGAAAUGCGUAGAUAUUAGGAGGAACACCAGUGGCGAAGGCGGCUUACUGGACUGUAACUGACGUUGAGGCUCGAAAGCGUGGGGAGCAAACAGGAUUAGAUACCCGGGUAGUC
rnacentral:rRNA from 1 species